CUUCAGCGAGCCCAGCAGCAGCGGCCGGCCGGGCGGCCGGUUCUGUCCAUAGGUCGCCACCAGCGCGGUGCCCUC
rfam:Streptomyces rimosus subsp. rimosus ATCC 10970 contig00019, whole genome shotgun sequence.